GCCGGGCAUGAUGAUUCAUCAUGCCUGUAGUCCCAGCUAUUCAGAAGGCUGAGGUGGGAGGAUCACUUGAGCCCAGGAGUUCUGGGCUGUAGUGUGCUAGGCCGAUCAGGUGUCAGCACUAAGUUCAGCAUCAAUAUGGUGACCUCCCGGGAGCGGGGGACCAUCAGGUUGCCUAAGGAGGGGUGAACCAGCCCAGGUCGGAAACGGAGCAGGUCAAAACUCCCAUGCUGAUCAGUAGUGGGAUCGCGCCUGUGAAUAGCUACUGCACUCCAGCCUAAACAACAUAGCGAGACCCUGUCUUU
rnacentral:SRP_RNA from 1 species